rnacentral:rRNA from 1 species
ACUCCUACGGGAGGCAGCAGUGGGGAAUAUUGGACAAUGGGCGCAAGCCUGAUCCAGCCAUGCCGCGUGAGUGAUGAAGGCCUUAGGGUUGUAAAGCUCUUUUGUCCGGGACGAUAAUGACGGUACCGGAAGAAUAAGCCCCGGCUAACUUCGUGCCAGCAGCCGCGGUAAUACGAAGGGGGCUAGCGUUGCUCGGAAUCACUGGGGCGUAAAGGGCGCGUAGGCGGCCGAUUAAGUCGGGGGUGAAAGCCUGUGGCUCAACCACAGAAUUGCCUUCGAUACUGGUUGGCUUGAGACCGGAAGAGGACAGCGGAACUGCGAGUGUAGAGGUGAAAUUCGUAGAUAUUCGCAAGAACACCAGUGGCGAAGGCGGCUGUCUGGUCCGGUUCUGACGCUGAGGCGCGAAAGCGUGGGGAGCAAACAGGAUUAGAUACCCUGGUAGCGACUGA